GGGGACGGAGCGGCGCGAUAGCGCGGUUACAGCGCCCCCCGGCGGACGGGAGGACGAGCACGGCCGCCCAUCAUUCCGGUUGGAACAGUCCUGAGACACGUCAGCAACGGUGGCAUCUCACGCGGCAGGCAGUCGUGGAAAACCUGAGAGAUGGUGAUGCCAUUGGUGUUUUACUUGACAGAUCCAGGCUGCCCCCAGCUCUACCUCACCUAUUAUUUACCUAAAAUAGCCUUGCCAUUGUAGAAUGAGCUGCUUAUCUCUUGAGCUGACACAACUAGCAACACAACACCUGUUGGUGAGCACCGCAG